UCAAUAAGCGGAGGAAAAGAAACUAACAAGGAUUCCCUUAGUAACUGCGAGUGAAGUGGGAAAAGCUCAAAUUUAAAAUCUGGCAGCCUUAGGUUGUCCGAGUUGUAACCUAGAGAAGUGCUACCUGCACUGGACCAUGUAUAAGUCUCCUGGAAUGGAGUGUCACAGAGGGUGAGAAUCCCGUCUUUGACAUGGACUUGCCAGUGUGUUGUGGUGUGCUCUCAAAGAGUCGAGUUGUUUGGGAAUGCAGCUCUAAAUGGGUGGUAAAUUCCAUCUAAAGCUAAAUAUUGGCGAGAGACCGAUAGCGAACAAGUACCGUGAGGGAAAGAUGAAAAGAACUUUGGAAAGAGAGUUAAACAGUAUGUGAAAUUGUUGAAAGGGAAACAUUUGAAGUCAGUUGUUGUUGGCUAGGGAUCAACCUGGCUUUCUUGCUUGGGUGUAUUUCCUCGUUAACAGGUCAACAUCAGUUUUGAUCAUUAGAAAAAAGCCAAGGAAAUGUAGCACCUUAUGGGUGUGUUAUAGUUCUUGGUUAUAUGUAGUGAUUGGGACUGAGGCAUGCAGCACACCGAAAGGUUGGGAAUUGGCCACAUUUGUGCUUAGGAUGUUGACAUAAUGGCUUUAAGUGACCCGUCUUGAA
rnacentral:rRNA from 1 species